rnacentral:rRNA from 1 species
GAUGAACGCUGGCGGCGUGCCUAAUACAUGCAAGUCGAGCGAACAGAUGAGGAGCUUGCUCCUCUGACGUUAGCGGCGGACGGGUGAGUCACACGUGGAUAACCUCCCUAUAAGACUGGGAUAACUACGGGAAACCGGAGCUAAUACCGGAUAAUAUAUUGAACCGCAUGGUUCAUUAGUGAAAGACGGUUUUGCUGUCACUUCUAGCUGGAUCCGCGCCGCAUUAGCUAGUUGGUAAGGUAACGGCUUACCAAGGCAACGAUGCGUAGCCGACCUGAGAGGGUGAUCGGCCACACUGGAACUGAGACAGGGUCCAGACUCCUACGGGAGGCAGCAGUAGGGAAUCUUCCGCAAUGGGCGAAAGCCUGACGGAGCAACGCCGCGUGAGUGAUGAAGGUCUUCGGAUCGUAAAACUCUGUUAUUAGGGAAGAACAAAUGUGUAAGUAACUAUGCACGUCUGGACGGUACCUAAGCAGAAAGCCACGGCUAACUACGUG